rnacentral:rRNA from 1 species
GACGAACGCUGGCGGCAGGCCUAACACAUGCAAGUCGAGCGAGCGGCGGACGGGUGAGCAAUGUAUGGGGCUCUGCCUGAUAGAGGGGGAUAACUACUGGAAACGGUGGCUAAUACCGCAUACUAUCGGAUCAACCGAUUUGGGAUUAGCGAGUAGGUGGGGUAAAGGCUUACCUAGGCGACGAUCUCUAGCUGGUCUGAGAGGAUGAUCAGCCACACUGGGACUGAGACACGGCCCAGACUCCUACGGGAGGCAGCAGUGGGGAAUAUUGCACAAUGGGCGCAAGCCUGAUGCAGCCAUGCCGCGUGUAUGAAGAAGGCCUUAGGAUUGUAAAGUACUUUCAGCGGGGAGGCGUUACCCACAGAAUAAGCACCGGCUAACUCCGUGCCAGCAGCCGCGGUAAUAC